ACGAGGUUGCCGAACAUUGCAUCUCCUCCCAAGUGAAUCUAGGGACGAUGUGGUGUCUAUUCAUACCCCGCAAUCGGGUAUCUGAAAGGUUCCAUUUCCCCUGGAACUGAUUGCAGAGGGCGCAUGUCAUCUUUGCAAAGUACGUUCCAGUGUCUGGAUGGCGCGGGCACAAUCAUACCCUCCUCAAUUCCGCAGCGAGCAGAUGGUUCUAUAUCCCCCUUGGGGAAACGUUAGACACUGGUAGCACGAUCUAUGGAGAUAGAGAGUACAUAUUCGGGUCUUGUUCGAGGCUCUAAUUUAUCUUGAUCAAAUUGUUCUGCCACACUUAGGUGUUGGGGAGAUGCUGCUGCUCAUUCUCUAAUUAUCCAGGGCCCAGACAGCCCAUGUGCUCAAUAUAGGUGCUGUUUGUUUCAACAGAGCACAUCCUGGCCAUCGAAGGUGGACAUAACUCCUGUUGGAUGCUACAUACGAGCUGCGAACAAGUGAGGUUUGCCGUGCGUUUUCCGUGACUGCUAGGAUGUUCUAUGCAGUAGUCAGUUUAUAUAGUUUUCAAC
rnacentral:sRNA from 2 species